GUUCAGGGGUAAACGGGAGAAAUCCUGAAUUCGAAAGGGACCGGAUUCAAGGCCUUCCGAGUGUAAGCAGGACGUCCCCGCCAGAUGGCGCUGGUCGCCCGCGGUGAUUCAUUUCGCUUGCGGUGUCGUUCCCGGCGAUCACUCGGCGUGGUGGCAUUGCCCUGGCACCGGAGGUGUGCACUUCCACCCUAGUAGAAACGUCGCGACCCGUUGGGUGCCGGUCAAAGGCCUGGGAUGGCAGCCCGUGUGUCCUGUGGGGGAACCCACAGGCACGUGGACUCUUGGUGACCCGGCCGGCUGCCCGACGGUAUGACCAGAGGAGUCGAUCCGCUGAAUGGAAAACACUGUGGUUGUGUAGCGUCCGGCCCGGCGCCGAUGCGUGUGGGGAUUGAGGUGUAAACCGGGGGUGCCCGUGCGAAGCACGGUCCCGGCCCCACUGCGCAUUUGGUUUCGUCGGUGUCCUCGGACUGGAUCAGCACUCCCGUCUGCGACGAUCACCUUCGGAUGGUCUCCCGACCCGUCUUGAAACACGGACCAAGGAGUCUAACAUGUGCGCGAGUCAUUGGGUUGCACUAAACCUAAAGGCGCAAUGAAAGUGAAGGCUGCUUUUGUGUGGGCGGCCGAGGGAAGAUGGUACUGGGUUUCCCGGGGCCCUCGUGGUCCCGGGCCCGGCCCGCAUUCCCGGGGCGUCUCGUCCUCACUGCGAGGGGAGGCGCACCUAGAGCGUACACGUUGGGACCCGAAAGAUGGUGAACUAUGCCUGGCCAGGACGAAGUCAGGGGAAACCCUGAUGGAGGUCCGUAGCGAUUCUGACGUGCAAAUCGAUCGUCGGAGCUGGGUAUAGGGGCGAAAGACUAAUC
rnacentral:rRNA from 1 species